UUGCAUAAAUGCUGUAGAUCCUGUAACUGGAUUAACACCGUUACUCUUGGCGUUGAAGAGCACUCAAACAAGUGAUAAAGUAAAAAUAAUAAAAUUGUUGCUGGUUCUUGGAGCAGAUUCCACAUAUCUAGAUAAAGAUGAAAAUUCUACCUACCACUAUGCAGCAGAGACAUCAAAAGAAAUUAUCAUGGUACUGCAUUUUUUUAUAUUCUCUUGGUUUUAGAUGCUUGAAGUACAGAGCAACCUCAUUGGUUCAUUGACUGAAAAUCAGAGUAUUUGAGCCAAAGACUGUAGAUUUAACACUUGCACUAAUUUUAAGUUUUGGAGCUCAGUACCUGUGAAUAUAUUUGGGUUUUUUUCAUGAAAUUGUAUAUCUCACAAGUUCUUCAUGAUUCCACUUUUAAACCUGCUCAUGAUGUCUGAGAUGCAAAUAAAAUUGGGAUUAUAGUGCUAGUAGCUAGUAGCCAAGCGCUCUCGCUUAUAAAAGAGAGGAAAGAUUUUCUCUAUCUCUAUGUGAAAUUGGGCCAAUUGUAGACUACAAGUCAAGGUGCUCGGAAUUAAAAUUUUCUGUUUUGCAGUUCUCAAAGCCCACCGAUAGAAAAAGGUUCAUUGAAAUGUAUGUAAAACAAUAAUUAAAUGAAGAAGGAAUAUGAUACAUGAAUAAUAAUUAAGAAAUAUUUUUCUUUCAUCUUCUUAGGCACUCACAGAAAAAUCAACAACACACUUAAAUUUGAAAAAUAAGAAAGGAUUUACACCCCUCCACAUUGCUUGUAACAGCGGAAAGCCUGAAUGUGUAAAAGCUUUAUGCGCAGCCGGUGCCAACGUUAACAUCGAGGCCUCCAUGACCGCUGGUCAGUCAUCAUCUCCUCCUGCGAGUUCUAUUGGCAAUUUUCUAGAUCAGCAAGCAAAGUUAUCCAAAGAAGAUGUAAAAAUGGGCGGCACACCCCUUCACUGGUGUUCAUCCCGAGAAGUAAUAGAAGUCUUAGUGACCAUGAACUGUGAUAUUAAUGCUCGUAAUUUUAAUGGUGCUCCUGCUCUUCAUGUGAUGGUAAAUUAAAUUAUUUUCACCUUCUAGAUUUUAAGAAUAUAGUGACAAUACUCAUGGAAUCCUCCCCGGACGGCGGUGAUGUCCGCCAUGGGGUAAGCCAAAGGAAAUAAAUAAUGAAUGAAUGUAUAUGUAUUAAAAAAAAAAACAUAAAUGAAGGCUGAUUAUUAUCAUUAUUACUCAUGGAAUCAUCAAUAGUUUACUGGAAUUGAAUCAUUUUGAAUCCUCAGGAUUCUAAUGUUUGUUUGAAUUGAGCUUGAACCUCAAAAAAAUUUACUUUAAAUCAAUACUAUGUAACUGAUAGCUUAAUCUGUCCGCACCUUUUGGUUAUUGUAAUGGACCCAACAGGUGGAUUUGUGUAAAGUACAGUCCAAGUAAAUGUGCCAAAAAAGAAAAGGAACUCAUUAUCGACCAUAUCGACAUUAUCAUCAUGUGUAAAAACGCCAAUAAAUACACAAAAUACAUAAUGUACAUUAUGGAUUUUUUGACCCCCCCCCCCUUCCCCAUAACGCUAUUGUGAUGGCGAGGUGGUCCCUGUCCUUAAACUUGUAAAAACCAGAGAAGCGUAACACUCUCCUCGACCCUCCUUUCCCUCAGAGCAUUACGUACACGGAAAAAAUUAAAUUGCUGAUUUAACAAUUUAAUUACUAAAAAAAGUGACAGCAAUGUUUUAAAGUAGAUUUUACUACAAAAAAAUGCUACUCUAACCACCUUUGGGUUAAAUUAGCUUACAAUAGUGGUUAAAGUAGCAUUUUUUUUGUUGUGAAAUCUACGUUGAAAUAUUGCAGUCACUUUUUUUAGCAAUUGAAUUGUUAAAUCAGCAAUUUAAUUUUUUUCGUGUAUUUUAAGAGUGUCCUCCAAGGCUUUUUAGGGCAAUGUGAGAAUUUAUGUAACAAUUUCAUUUUUGUUGGUAUGGUCUUUUUCCUUUUUUUUAUUAUACUUUUCAUAGGAACUUGUGCGAUUUUUGCUUACAACCACACACUCUUGAAGAUUUAACUUUUUUAACUCCUCAACAAGCAACGUCAAAUGUAAUCACUUCAUACCAAUGAAUAGAUUAUUAUUAUAAUGUAUAAUUAAGAGACUACAUGGGCUUAUGAAUAAAUGGAUGUAUAGUAAGCAACAGAUACCCAACAUGUAAUUUAUCAUAAAAUAUGUAUAAUGAGAGAACAAAGUAGCAUGCUUAUAGCAAGCUUCUCAGGCACAUGUGAGAAUCCAAGUAACUUCUAAGUCACUUCUUUAUGUUAUGCUUGAUUUUCAGCUUUUAAAUCAAAAUUUUUUUCUCUGUCAAUUAUAUUUACCUUCAUUCUUCAUUUUGAACAUUUUCAGAUAAUACACAAGAGAUUCGAAUGUGUUUUAGCUCUCUUAUCUUUGAAUGCUGAUCUCGAAAUAAAAGACAAUAGUGGUCAAACAGCCCUGAUACUAGCUGUUCAACAAAAAUCAAUUCCAAUCAUACAGGCUCUCAUAGUAUUUUAUGUCAACCUUGAUUCUGUGUAAGUAUUCCUCGGACAUUCCUCUGACAGUUUUUUUUUCAAUAUUUUUUUUCUCUGUGCAAGUAAAAAAUUGAGCCCUGCCAACAGUUUUUAAAAGUUAGAGUUAAGAUAGUUAUGUUUUUUCAUCUUACAUAGGAAGUGUAGUAGGAUUUUUUUUUUUUGGUUUUACCCCUCAAACUUGAUCUAUUUGACCAAGAAAGAUUCUGUGUCAAAUUCUAGCUAAAGCAGAUUUCAUUAAUCAAUACCUAGCUAGGUGUUUCUCUCAUUCUUUUUUAGCUUGAAAAAUACAUAUUUU
rnacentral:lncRNA from 1 species